AACUUUAAAGUAUCACUCAAACUCCACUCAAUGAUUAAUUUUUAAACUUUUCAAUAUUAUUCUCCCCUUCAAAACAGCUUCAAGAAAAAAAUCAGUUUUAACAGCAAGCCCAAUAUGAUAUUCAUUAUAUUAAAGAAACAAUAAUAGUGAACAUAUCGCAUUAUGGUGCAGAUUCACCAUAAUGUGAACAUGUGAUUGAAUUCCAAUAGUUUUUGUCUCUUUUAUCUCAGCUCCACUGUCGGGCAGAAAGCAGUGAUUUUAUCAGACCCCACAAACCUCCCUGUCAUUUAACAGCCUGCAGACACUCCACCAAUAACCACAGAUGACCCACAAGAGAGAGGAGAAUAGGCCAGGAAGGACACUCUGGACACUCGAAAGCUUUGGAGAGGAGAAAACGAGGGAAGGGAAAGUGGAGGUCGCCAUGCCUCCGUGGAGGAAAGUAGAGAUGGCUCAAACAACAGCAAGACUUUUUAUGGAGGUCAACGUUUGAAAUUUGUGAAAGAAGGAAAAUGCAUAUGCAGGCUGAGCAGAAGAGUUGAGUGUAUGGGAUCGACUCAUGAAAGAAGAAGAACUGAACACCGUCCCGCAGCAGUGUGUGAUAAGCAGGUGACCACCAUCAGGAGGAGAGCUCUGACCUUCCCAGGGUCCAGGAUCUACACUUAUUCUGCAUCCCGCAAGGAUCAAGUGGGUUUGAAAAACAAAUGCAUUGAUGCAUUGAUUAUACAGCAUGUAUUGCAGGUCCAUAAUCAGCCAGUGGAGGGCAGCCCAACCUAGACUUUAUCAAUGAAUUUAUUUGUUCAAGACGUACAAUAUAUGAUUUCUUUAGGGUAACACAGUUUCCAUGGAAAUUAACAGAGAUGCAUCAUAUAUGAUGAAUAAAUAUCUGUAUUGUAACACAAUUUUACUGCCUGUUUUAUUAUUUUUUUUAAU